rnacentral:rRNA from 1 species
AUACGGAGGCUGCAAGCGUUAAUCGGAAUUACUGGGCGUAAAGCGCGCGUAGGCGGCUUUGUAAGUCGGAUGUGAAAGCCCCGGGCUCAACCUGGGAAUUGCAUUCGAUACUGCAGAGCUAGAGUAUGGUAGAGGGAAGUGGAAUUUCCGGUGUAGCGGUGAAAUGCGUAGAUAUCGGAAGGAACACCAGUGGCGAAGGCGACUUCCUGGGCCAAUACUGACGCUGAGGUGCGAAAGCGUGGGGAGCAAACAGGAUUAGAUACCCGAGUAGUCC